AGUGAACGCUGGCGGUAGGCCUAACACAUGCAAGUCGAACGGCAGCACAGUAAGAGCUUGCUCUUACGGGUGGCGAGUGGCGGACGGGUGAGGAAUACAUCGGAAUCUACUUUUUCGUGGGGGAUAACGUAGGGAAACUUACGCUAAUACCGCAUACGACCUACGGGUGAAAGCAGGGGAUCUUCGGACCUUGCGCGAUUGAAUGAGCCGAUGUCGGAUUAGCUAGUUGGCGGGGUAAAGGCCCACCAAGGCGACGAUCCGUAGCUGGUCUGAGGGGAUGAUCAGCCACACUGGAACUGAGACACGGUCCAGACUCCUACGGGAGGCAGCAGUGGGGAAUAUUGGACAAUGGGCGCAAGCCUGAUCCAGCCAUACCGCGUGGGUGAAGAAGGCCUUCGGGUUGUAAAGCCCUGUUGCUGGGAAAGAAAAGCAGCAGGUUAAUACCCCGCUGUUCUGACGGUACCCAAAGAAUAAGCACCGGCUAACUUCGUG
rnacentral:rRNA from 1 species